AUGGCUGACAUAUCAGGAUAUCUGUCACUCCACUGUUUGGUUACAAAGUUGUUGCAUAUUCUAGGAAAAGUUGUAUAGUCAUUGUUUCUGUUUCAGGCUCCAGGUAAUAAAGAAAACAUGUAUUUUCAUUCUGAUAAUUCCAAAAAUGCAGAAGUUCACUGUUUAAAUUAGCUGCCUAGUACAAAACAUUUUAAAAAACUCUUGAGACAGGUAAUUUGCAAUAAGCAGCAAUUUUCAGUUGCAUGUAGUUUUAGAUAGUUUAAUUAUUUACUUAUGUACCUAUUUGACCAAUUCUCUGCUUGCUCUGCAGUAUAUUGGACAGUGAAUAUUCAAGAUACAGACGAUUGAAAAUAUAGAGCUAUUUAAAGACCAGAAACCUAUUUGGUUGUGGGGACAACAUUAAAAGCUUGGACAAUGUUUCUGCAUAGUCUUGGAUACUAAUGCUAUCCUCUGGUUUGGAAGUCAAUGAAAUUGUGAAUUCUGCACUCAGUGUCUUAAAUUAAUGAAGGCUUAAAUAUCUUAGGAUGAAUAUUUGAACAACAGAUACUCUGCUUCAGAAUGUCCAUCUGUGCAUCUUCUCACAAGGAGUUUUCUCAGUUACUGCCAAUUCAGGAUACUGGACGUAGUAAAAUAGAAAUUAAAAGCUCACCUUCUGGCAUCAGCUCUCCUGUUUAUAGCUGCAGUCAGUCUUCUCUGACAAUGCAACAGAGUCCGAUUUAUAUUCCUUCAUCUUAUGUGGAAAACAGACACGAAUAUUCUGCAAUGGCUUUCUAUAGUCCUGCCAUGAUGAAUUACAACAUUCCUAGCAAUUUCAGUGAUUCAGAAAGUGCAUCUGUAAGGCAGACAUCAAGCCCAAAUGUUUUAUGGUCUGCUCCUGGCCAUAUUUCACCUUUGACAUUACAUUGCCAGUCAUCACUUUUAUAUGCAGAGCAACCAAAGAGCCCAUGGUGUGACGCAAGACCAGCAGACCAUGCACUGCCUAUGAACAGAGAGACAUUAAAAAGAAAAUCUAAUGGCAGUGAUUGUACAAGUCCUGCUGUGAAUAGUCCUGGUUCAAAAAGAGAUGCACACUUCUGUGCAGUCUGCAGUGAUUAUGCUUCAGGAUAUCACUAUGGCGUUUGGUCUUGUGAAGGAUGUAAAGCAUUCUUUAAAAGAAGUAUCCAAGGACACAAUGAUUACAUCUGUCCAGCUACCAAUCAAUGCACAAUAGAUAAAAAUAGGCGUAAAAGCUGUCAGGCGUGUAGACUACGGAAAUGCUGUGAAGUAGGAAUGAUGAAAUGUGGUUCAAGAAGAGAACGUUGUGGGUAUCGUAUCAUACGCCGUCAUCGUAAUUCAGAAGAUCAAGUGCAUUGCACUGGCAAAGCUAAAAAGAAUAGUGAAAAUAUAACCCGAGUGAAAGAAAUCCUUCUUAGUGCACUCAGUCCUGAGCAGUUUGUUUUAACGUUACUUGAAGCUGAACCUCCUAAUGUGCUGCUGGUGAGUCGCCCCAACAAGCCAUUUACAGAAGUCUCCAUGAUGAUGUCAUUGACAAAACUUGCAGACAAAGAAUUGGUUCACAUGAUUGGUUGGGCCAAGAAAAUUCCUGGCUUCAUAGAGCUCAGUCUGUACGAUCAAGUGAGGCUCUUGGAGAGUUGUUGGAUGGAAGUUUUAAUGGUGGGUUUGAUGUGGAGGUCGAUUGAUUAUCCUGGCAAGCUAAUUUUUGCACCAGAUCUUGUAUUAGACAGGGAUGAGGGGAAAUGUGUAGAAGGAAUUCUGGAAAUCUUUGACAUGCUCCUGGCCACAACAUCAAGAUUUCGAGAGCUGAAAUUACAGCACAAGGAGUAUCUGUGUGUCAAGGCUAUGAUUCUUCUCAAUUCCAAUAUGUUUCCAUUAUCAGCUGCUGCAGAAGAAUCUGAAAGCAACAGGAAGCUACAUCACUUGCUUAAUGCAGUAACUGAUGCUUUGGUGUGGGUUAUUGCAAAAAGUGGAAUCCCAUCUCAGCAACAGACAACUCGUUUGGCUAACUUGUUGAUGUUACUUUCUCAUGUCAGGCAUGCAAGUAACAAAGGUAUGGAGCACCUUCUGAGCAUGAAGUGUAAAAAUGUGGUCCCAGUCUAUGACUUGCUGCUGGAAAUGCUGAAUGCACACACACUUCGAGGUCAAAGAAAGUCUGCAGUCACAGAUUCUGAAUUUGGCCCAUCAGAACAAACUGAUACUAGAGAUGAUAUGCGGAAUAUGGCAGAACAGUAACUUUAUAAUUACCUGGAAGAUCAGCCCAGCCCAACCCUAGGAAGUAACCCUACAGUGAAAAAUCAGAGGCCAGACUUCAGUAUCAAGCUACAAAAGGGUUAUUGUAAUCAACUGAGAGUAAAAAUAAUUUUGAAGAAGUCUGAAAGAUAGCUUGGCUCCUGCUGGGAGAGUGCUGGAGUCACCUGAUGCCAACGCCAGCCAGGUUGGUGCCUCUACCAAACCCCAGCUGACUGCCAAGGCAACGAUUGCUGAGGGAUCUCCUGCAUUGGAAGAAGGGGUAGGAAACGACCCAGGGAAGGAGCGGUAGUGAUGGGAGACUAAGACUGAGCAGCGAGGUAUCAGUUCCCUCAGGUCCUGGGUUGGGAACUGGGUGAAGGGUAGGCCCGGGUCCCCCUACUCCAUCUGACCUACCAUGGACACCGCCGACAUGCAGGGAGGUGGAUUGGGCCAUACAGCCCUGGGAAGAAAGGCGGCUACUUAGACUUCAGCCAAUAGGCCUUACUGUCCUGAACCCCAGGCCUGCCUUACUGGCUUGGGCUGCGGGGCCGUAUGUGCCCCGCGACACCUUGUAUAGAAAUACCAUAAUAAUAAAAUGAUUAUAAUGUACUACUUGUACUCUGAAAGGUCAGCUUGACAACCAGAUCUACAACCUAGACAGGGUACAUGACAAUUAGUUGGAAAAUAGUAACACUACACAGGAAUUUUUUCUACAGUAAAUGAGGAAUACUUUAUCGAGACAAAAAUACAGAAGAAAUAUAGAGAAGUAGAAUGUAAUUAUCCAGACUGAAUUUGGCAAAAACAACAGGAUUAACAACCAAAGUAAAUACAAGUGGCCAAGUUUUAUGCAUCAUCUGAAAGAGGCAUUUCCGGCAGUAUAGUGCUACAUAAAACCAUGUUGGGGUAUUGCUUUUGUGCUGACUGAGAAGAAAAAGUGCCAACCCACUCAAUCACCAACAUCACUUCCCAUAGCACAUAGGCCGGCCUGCCUUGGAGAUCUACCAUCCACACAGUGACCUGGCUUGAUGCUGGUCAGAGUGUGAGAACUGAUGCAGUCACAGCAUAAAAUAGUUGGUAUAGCUGCAAUUUAUCACUGUCACUCUAUUGGAGGUUUAUAAUUAUGGUACACACCUGAUCUUAUGAAGGUCUCAGAAACACCUGAGACCAGAAAACAGGGUCUUGUAAGGUUAAGUAUCAGAGGGGUAGCCGUGUU